rnacentral:misc_RNA from 1 species
CCGAGUUUACAACUCCCAAACCCCUGUGAACAUACCUACUGUUGCCUCGGCGGAUCAGCCCGCUCCCGGUAAAACGGGACGGCCCGCCCGAGGACCCCUAAACUCUGUUUCUAUAUGUAACUUCUGAGUAAAACAACAAAUAAAUCA